CCUACGGGUGGCAGCAGUGGGGAAUAUUGCGCAAUGGGCGAAAGCCUGACGCAGCGACGCCGCGUGUGGGAUGAAGGUCUUCGGAUCGUAAACCUCUUUCAGCAGGGAAGAACGGUCACUGUGCUAAUCAGCAGUGAAUUGACGGUACCUGCAAAGGAAGCACCGGCUAACUCCGUGCCAGCAGCCGCGGUAAUACGGAGGGUGCGAGCGUUAAUCGGAAUUACUGGGCGUAAAGCGCUCGUAGGCGGUAUGUCAAGUCAAGGGUGAAAUCCCCGGGCUCAACGUGGGAACUGCCUUUGAAACUGGCAAAGUGGAGUGUGGGAGAGGAUGGUGGAAUUCCAGGUGUAGCGGUGAAAUGCGGAGAUAUCUGGAGGAACAUCAGUGGCGAAGGCGACUAUCUGGCACAUAACUGACGCUGAGGAGCGAAAGCGUGGGUAGCAAACAGGAUUAGAUACCCUUGUAGUC
rnacentral:rRNA from 1 species